rnacentral:rRNA from 1 species
GAUGAACGCUAGCUACAGGCUUAACACAUGCAAGUCGCGGGGCAGCAUGGGGGUUGCUUGCAAUCCCCGAUGGCGACCGGCGCACGGGUGAGUAACGCGUAUCCAACCUGCCCUUCACCACGGGAUAACCCGGCGAAAGUCGGACUAAUACCGUAUGUUGUCCAUUGACGGCAUCCGAUUUGGACGAAAGGUUUGGCGGUGAAGGAGGGGGAUGCGUCCGAUUAGCUGGACGGCGGGGUGACGGCCCACCGUGGCGACGGUCGGUAGGGGUUCUGAGAGGAAGGUCCCCCACACUGGAACUGAGACACGGUCCAGACUCCUACGGGAGGCAGCAGUGAGGAAUAUUGGUCAAUGGGCGUAAGCCUGAACCAGCCAAGUAGCGUGCAGGAUGACGGCCCUAUGGGUUGUAAACUGCUUUUAUGCGGGGAUAAAGUGGCCCACGUGUGGGUUUUUGCAGGUACCGCAUGAAUAAGGACCGGCUAAUUCCGUG